CGCAGCCCCGUCAGAUUCCGUCCCUGCCUCCUCCAUGGCGGGGAGCGGCCAGCCGGCUGCCGCAGCAACGUCUGUGGUCUGUGAGACCCCGGGGAUAAAAUCCCACCACGGACAUCG